GACGAACGCUGGCGGCGUGCUUAACACAUGCAAGUCGAACGGAAAGGCCCUGCUUUUGUGGGGUGCUCGAGUGGCGAACGGGUGAGUAACACGUGAGUAACCUGCCCUUGACUUUGGGAUAACUUCAGGAAACUGGGGCUAAUACCGGAUAGGAGCUCCUGCUGCAUGGUGGGGGUUGGAAAGUUUCGGCGGUUGGGGAUGGACUCGCGGCUUAUCAGCUUGUUGGUGGGGUAGUGGCUUACCAAGGCUUUGACGGGUAGCCGGCCUGAGAGGGUGACCGGCCACAUUGGGACUGAGAUACGGCCCAGACUCCUACGGGAGGCAGCAGUGAGGAAUAUUGCACAAUGGGCGGAAGCCGGAUGCAGCAACGCCGCGUGCGGGAUGACGGCCUUCGGGUUGUAAACCGCUUUCGCCUGUGACGAAGCGUGAGUGACGGUAAUGGGUAAAGAAGCACCGGCUAACUACGUG
rnacentral:rRNA from 1 species